rnacentral:lncRNA from 1 species
UUCACUCUCUCACUUGCUUCUACAGAAAUUAGUAGAAUGCCAGGAGAUGGGCGAAGAGGUUUUGAAAUCAGUAGAGACUCAAGUUCCUGCUGCUGUUUAAAUUAAAAUCAGACCAGCACUAAGAUGAAGGUCUCCAAUCUCAAUGGAUUUUUUUAUUUUUGUGCUUUCCAAUGUGAACUCUAGGGCCAGAAGCCCACAAUAAACAAUUAUAUUUUUUUCUCACUGCAUGAUUUUUCCAUCCUUGUAGCUAUUAGGCAAAUUAUUUACUGCAGGAUGUUAUAGGAUCACGGCUUUGUAAUCUUUUGGGUGGUAGAUUUUUGGUUGAUAAGAUAUUGAGUUGGUGUUGUAUCUUUUCCGUCUUUCUGAAACCGCCUUCAUCUGGAGCUGUUGUAACAUGGAAUAUCAUUGUGACAACUUUUGGAAAAUAAAAGCAAGUCUUUCAAUUUGCGGUUUGUUUAUAGUUUGCUGUGGUGUCUCAAUGUUGAUGCAAAUUAGAAAAUCAAAUUAAAAUUGAAAUCUGUUUUUGUUAUUAGUUAGCACUAGCAUUUUC